rnacentral:rRNA from 1 species
AUUGAACGCUGGCGGCAGGCCUAACACAUGCAAGUCGAACGAGUGGCGGACGGGUGAGUACUGUCUGGGAAACUGCCCGAUGGAGGGGGAUCACUACUGGAAACGGUAGCUAAUACCGCAUACCAUCGGAUGUGCCCAGAUGGGAUUAGCUGGUAGGUGGGGUAACGGCUCACCUAGGCGACGACCCCUAGCUGGUCUGAGAGGCUGACGAGCCACACUGGAACUGGGCCAGGGUCCGUAGUCCUACGGGAGGAAGCAGUGGGGAGUAUUGCACAAUGGGCGCAAGCCUGAGGCAGCCAUGCCGCGUGUAUGAAGAAGGCCUUCGGGUUGAAAAGUACUUUCAGCGAGGAGGCGUUACUCGCAGAAGAAGCAUCGGCUAACUCCGUGCCAGCAGCCGCGGUAAUUC